UGCCAGCAUCCGCUGUACUCCUGAUUGGGCAAUCGUUGCUCGGAAUUACUGGGCGUAAAGCGAGCGUAGGCGGUUAAUCAAGUUGGUGGUGAAAGCCCGGAGCUCAACUCCGGAACUGCCAUCAAAACUGAUUGACUUGAGAUUGGUAGAGGAAAAUGGAAUUCCUAGUGUAGAGGUGAAAUUCGUAGAUAUUGGGAAGAACAUCGGUGGCGAAGGCGAUUUUCUGGGCCAAAUCUGACGCUGAGGUUCGAAAGCGUGGGUAGCAAACAGGAUUAGAUA
rnacentral:rRNA from 1 species